UACGAAGGGGGCUAGCGUUGUUCGGAAUCACUGGGCGUAAAGGGCGCGUAGGCGGCCGCUCAAGUCGGGGGUGAAAGCCUGUGGCUUAACCACAGAAUUGCCUUCGAUACUGUUUGGCUUGAGACCGGAAGAGGUGAGUGGAACUGCGAGUGUAGAGGUGAAAUUCGUAGAUAUUCGCAAGAACACCAGUGGCGAAGGCGGCUCACUGGUCCGGUUCUGACGCUGAGGUGCGAAAGCGUGGGGAGCAAACAGG
rnacentral:rRNA from 1 species